rnacentral:tRNA from 6 species
ACCUAAAUAGCUUAUAUAGAGUAUAACACUGAAGAUGUUAUGGAAAUAGUUUUAUUUUUAGGUA